AUUGAACGCUGGCGGCAGGCUUAACACAUGCAAGUCGAGCGAGCGGCGGACGGGUGAGUAAUGUCUGGGAAACUGCCUGUUGGAGGGGGAUAACUACUGGAAAAGGUAGCUAAUACCGCAUACCAUCAGAUGUGCCCAGAUGGGAUUAGCUAGUGGGUGGGGUAAUGGCUCACCUAGUCGACGAUCCCUAGCUGGUCUGAGAGGAUGACCAGCAACACUGGAACUGCGACACGGUCCAGACUCCUACAGGAGGCAGCAGUGGGGAAUAUUGGCCAAUGUGCGCGAGCCUGAUGCAGCCAUGCCGCGUGUAUGCAGAAGACCUUCGGGUUGUAAAGUACUUUCCGCGUGAAGGCGUUACCCGCAGAAGAAGCACCGGCUAACUCCGUGCCAGCAGCCGCGGUAAUAC
rnacentral:rRNA from 1 species